UACGUAGGGGGCAAGCGUUGUCCGGAUUUAUUGGGCGUAAAGAGCGUGUAGGCGGUUUGGUAGGUCCGUUGUGAAAACUCGAGGCUCAACCUUGAGACGCCGAUGGAAACCAUCAGACUAGAGUCCGGAAGAGGAGAGUGGAAUUCCUGGUGUAGCGGUGAAAUGCGCAGAUAUCAGGAAGAACACCCGUGGCUAAGGCGGCUCUCUAGUACGGUACUGACGCUGAGACGCGAAAGCGUGGGGAGCGAACAGG
rnacentral:rRNA from 1 species